AUGAACUACAAGUCUAAUUUCUUCAGUACAAAAAGUGUAUAUAGCCAUGAUCGUUACAUCAAUUAUGUAAUCGGGAAAAGACAUCAUUUUCACCCCAAAUUAUACCCGAAAAGUCUAAGUCACACCUAAAAUAUACAAGUGAUUCACUACACUUAAACUAUAUAAAAGUGAUAUUAUUUCCUUCCUGCGACACCCAUGCCUAAGUUUAAUGAGUGGAGUGCACUCCACUCGCCCUCUUGUGGUGCCAUGUGUCUAAUUUAAUUUUCCUUUUUUAUUAAAACUUGACCCGAUCCUAUUACUCUUUUAACCCAUCUAUUUAACCCAUCCGACCCGACCCGACCCGACCUCAUUUUAUACCCUAACCCGAUCAAACCUCUUCAUCCAAAUGAAAAGUCAUCGGAUGAGAUCAAAAACGUGGUAGAUGAUUCACCUCUCUUCACUCUUUCAAUUUUUUUAUCAAAUUUAAACCCGAUAGAAGAGAUAAACAAUAAUUUUGCUUUGUUUCUCAUUGUUGACAAGUAAAAAUUAUUUUUUAUCUCUUUUCAGUUCAAGUUAAUUUGGUUGAUUUCAACGUAGGUGGUACGAUCUAGGAUAAACACUUAAGGUUACGAUCUUUUAUGUAGGAACUACUGAUUUUCAGUUCAAAGGUUAGUUUUCUUUCCUAAAUAUAGUAGAUCUAGGAUUUAUUUUCGUUCCUAAGUUAGAUCUACGGAUUUUUGAGUUAGGAUUUUUUCGUCUUUAAUUUGUCCAAAUUAACAUUUUAUUUUUAUUUAGAUGCUCAAUAUGUGAUAAUAUAACCUUUGACAUUUAUAAUAGUUCGAUUUUACUAGGGUUUUGACUAGGAUUUUUAAUUAGAGUUUUUGAAUUAGGGGUUUUUCUUUUCUUUAAUUUAUCUUGAAAACUGAUCUGUUAUAGUUUGUUUAUAUGCUUCAACAAUCUGUAACAAUAUGAGCUGUGAGGUUCAAUAUGUGAUAAAUAAUGUGUGAUACUUAUAAUUGUUGCAUAAAUACUAUAAUUUUUUUUUAUUUUUGUGUACUGUGAGACUUGUAUCUUUUUGAUUUUUGUGUAUUAUGAGACUUGUAUCUUUAUUGUGUUUUUGUGGUCAAUGAUUUCAGGUUUAUAAAAUGAGUUUUGAACUGAUCACUUUGAGAUUUUACCAUGGUGAAGAACCUAAUAUGGGUAAGGUGAAGGGGAAAAAAGAAGAUGUCCAACAGGUGCACCUGCUUCUGGCACUAAUGCAAAUCCUAGCCUAAGUCCAUCUGCUGGUGCAGACCCAAGUGCAGGUCCAAGUACAGUCCCAAGUGCAGCACCUACUGUUGGAAAAGGAAGCGGUUCAACUAGAAGAGGAAGGGGUAGACCACCAAAGAAUUCUACAUAAAAGUGUGCUGACAGACCAAGAAUGGUUGGAAUGGGAUUACUUCACACACAAAGUGGAUGCACAAUUCUUAAUUCGUGAAUGCCUACUGAAAGAUUCAAAACUGUCAAGUCUUCAGCAUUUGUGACUGAAAAUCUCGGAUAUACACCAAAAACUGGUGUAAAAUGGAACGGAAAAAAAGCUAUGACCUCCAGGCAACUACAAGAAAUGAGAGGCAGAAAACAAAUGCAAACAAGGUCCAAGGCUGCACACUUAAGUCAAGAAAGCUCCAAUAUUCAAUCUCUAUGAGAAGUUGGUGUAGAUUACAUUUAACACUGUAUAAAUCUUGGCAGUUGUGACUGCAUUUAAGACUAUUUUUUGGUAGUUUACUGAUGUUGGCAGCUGUGACUGCUUUAAGAACAAUCUAUUAGUAGCAGCUUUGACUGCAUUUUGUAACUGUAAUUAGUUUAACAGUACUGAUCUUUUUGUAAAUGUAUUUGGUUGCAAGAUGUAAUUGACACUCAUUUUUGGUUAAUGAUUGUGCAGUUGUAAGUUUA